AGCAAUACAGAAAAAAGUCUAGUGGCGAACGGGUGCGUAACACGUGAGCAACCUGCCGUGAAGUGGGGGAUAGCUCGCCGAAAGGCGAAUUAAUACCGCAUGUGGCCAGGAAGGACAUCCUUCCGACGCCAAAGCCGGGGCAACCUGGCGCUUCUCGAGGGGCUCGCGGCCUAUCAGCUUGUUGGUGAGGUAACGGCUCACCAAGGCUAUGACGGGUAGCUGGUCUGAGAGGACGACCAGCCACACUGGAACUGAGACACGGUCCAGACACCUACGGGUGGCAGCAGUCGAGAAUUUUUCACAAUGGGGGAAACCCUGAUGGAGCGAUGCCGCGUGGAGGAUGACGGUUUUCGGAUUGUAAACUCCUGUCAUUAGAGAACAAGGCACAUGGUUUAACUGGCCGUGUGUUGAUAGUAUCUGAAGAGGAAGAGACGGCUAACUCUGUGCCAGCAGCCGCGGUAAUACAGAGGUCUCAAGCGUUGUUCGGAUUCAUUGGGCGUAAAGGGUGCGUAGGUGGCGAGGUAAGUCGGAUGUGAAAUCUCCAAGCUCAACUUGGAAACUGCAUUCGAUACUGCUUUGCUAGAGGAUUGUAGGGGGCAUUGGAAUUCACGGUGUAGCAGUGAAAUGCGUAGAUAUCGUGAGGAAGACCAGUGGCGAAGGCGAAUGCCUGGGCAAUUCCUGACACUGAGGCACGAAGGCCAGGGGAGCAAACGGGAUUAGAUACCCCGGUAGUCCUGGCAGUAAACGGUGCACGUUUGGUGUGGGAGGAUUCGACCCCUUCCGUGCCGGAGCUAACGCGUUAAACGUGCCGCCUGGGGAGUACGGUCGCAAGAUUAAAACUCAAAGAAAUUGACGGGGACCCGCACAAGCGGUGGAGUAUGUGGCUUAAUUCGAUCCAACGCGAAGAACCUUACCUGGCCUUGACAUGCAUCUCUAAACCGGUGAAAGCCGGCGAGCGUAGCAAUACGCAAUUUGCACAGGUGCUGCAUGGCUGUCGUCAGCUCGUGUCUGAGAUGUUGGGUUAAGUCCCGCAACGAGCGCAACCCCUGUGAACUGUUGCCAUGGAGACGUGAGUCUCCGGCACUCUGUUCAGACUGCCCUGUUCAACGGGGAGGAAGGUGGGGACGACGUCAAGUCAGUAUGGCCCUUACGGCCAGGGCUGCACACGUACUACAAUGCCCGACACAGAAGGAUCCGAGACCGCGAGGUGGAGGAAAUCACUAAAGUCGGGCCCAGUUCGGAUUGGAGGCUGCAACUCGCCUCCAUGAAGCCGGAAUCGCUAGUAAUGGCGCAUCAGCUACGGCGCCGUGAAUACGUUCCCGGGUCUUGUACACACCGCCCGUCACAUCAUGGGAGUCGUUUGUACCCGAAGUGCGCGCGCCAACCGCAAGGAGGCAGCGCCCUAAGGUAUGAGCGGUAACUGGGAUGAAGUCGGAACAAGGUA
rnacentral:rRNA from 1 species